CAGUAGCCGCGGGAAUACGUAGGGUGCAAGCGUUAAUCGGAAUUACUGGGCGUAAAGCGUGCGCAGGCGGUUAUAUAAGUCAGAUGUGAAAUCCCCGGGCUCAACCUGGGAACUGCAUUUGAGACUGUACGGCUAGAGUGUGUCAGAGGGGGGUAGAAUUCCACGUGUAGCAGUGAAAUGCGUAGAUAUGUGGAGGAAUACCGAUGGCGAAGGCAGCCCCCUGGGAUAACACUGACGCUCAUGCACGAAAGCGUGGGGAGCAAACAGGAUUAGAUACCCGUGUAGUCCCUGUCUCUUAUAC
rnacentral:rRNA from 1 species